AGGGCUGUUGUUUUUGCCUGUCAUGGAGUUCCGUUCAUUUUGAACAUGUCACCAGGGACUUUGGAAUGUGUAUCCAUAACUCCCUGAUUUUCAACCACAUUCCAGCCUGCCUGACUCAUGAAGCGUGGAGCGACCCAGGAACAUCCCAGCUCCUCAUGUCCCACAUUCUUCAGGCUUUCUCUUAGUUUUGGCAUGUGCAUGUAAAUGUCAACAGAUCAAUAAAGGCAAAAACCAGGAGAUCCCAUAAAUCCCGCUGAGCCUGUCAUAGCUAUCAAAUUAUACCCAGAUAAAGCUUCUGGUGGCUAAUGACAUGGCCAUCACCCAGCGUGGACGUGGGCAGGAGGGGCUCUCCGGGAGCAUCUGGUCUGCUGUGGAGACACUUGUCAUCUGGAGGCUCUGUGGCUCUAAUGGAGGGUGAUGCUUUGAAUGCGAUUAUCUCCCCCAUAAAAAAAUAAAUAAAUAAUAAGGAUAAUUUAAAAAUAAACAAAGAUCUGGAUUUGCAGGCUA
rnacentral:lncRNA from 1 species